GACCUCAAAUCAGGCAAGAAUACCCGCUGAACUUAAGCAUAUCAAUAAGCGGAGGAAAAGAAACUAACAAGGAUUCCCCUAGUAACGGCGAGUGAAGAGGGAAGAGCUCAAAUUUUAAAUCUGCCUUGUUUCAAGGUCGAGUUGUAAUUUGAAGAAGCGUUUUCUUGGGCUCGCGGCCGGUAGAAGUUCUUUGGAACAGGACAUCAUAGAGGGUGACAAUCCCGUCUGCGACCGGUCGUGCGUUCAUCUACGAUACGCUUUCAAAGAGUCGAGUUGUUUGGGAUUGCAGCUCCAAAUGGGUGGUAAACAUCACCUAAGGCUAAAUAUUGGCGAGAGACCGAUAGCGAACAAGUACCGUGAGGGAAAGAUGAAAAGAACUUUGAAAAGAGAGUUAAACAGUACGUGAAAUUGUUGAAAGGGAAACGAUUGAAGUCAGUCGUGCUGGCGCGAAAUCAACCCUCUCAUCGGGAGAUCACAUGUUGUGGCGAGCCUCAAAACCGCCACAGCGUGUGACCUCACGAUGAGGGGGAGCACUUUCGUGUCCGCUGGUUAACAUCAAUUUCGAACGUCAUAAAAAGGCUGGAGGGAUGUGGCUCCUUCGGGAGUGUUAUAACCUUUAGCGGAAUGUGGUGGUCGGGAUUGAGGAUUGCAACGAAUACCUUUAGGGCUGUUCCACCUGGCCUCUCUUUGGUAUCCUGGUGACGACAGCUUGCUGACGUUGUUAGGACUCGCCUUUGAACAGGCUAGAGUGUGAGCAAAUUCGUUAAGGAUGUUAACGUAAUGGCUUUAAACGACCCGUCUUGAAACACGGACCAAGGAGUCUAGCAUAUAUGCGAGUGUUUGAGUGUUGAAACUCGAGCGCGAAAUGAAAGUGAUAUUGGUAAGAUCCUCUUCCCCUCGGGGGAGCGGAGCAUUAUCGACCGAUCUGGAUAUUCUUUGAUAGAUUUGAGUAAGAGCA
rnacentral:rRNA from 1 species